rnacentral:misc_RNA from 1 species
UCUCCGUUGGUGAACCAGCGGAGGGAUCAUUACUGAGUAUAUCCUACUACUCUCAACCCUUUGCGAACGUACCUGUUCUGUUGCUUCGGCAGGCCGUCCCCUGGGAGGGGCAGCCAGCGCCUGCCGGAGGUUACAAACCCUGAAUUUUAGUGUAUCUCUGAGUACAAAAACGAAAUAAUUAAAACUUUCAACAACGGAUCUCUUGGUUCUG